rnacentral:rRNA from 1 species
AUUGAACGCUGGCGGCAUGCCUUACACAUGCAAGUCGAACGGCAGCACGGGGCAACCUGGUGGCGAGUGGCGAACGGGUGAGUAAUGCAUCGGAACGUGCCAUUGAGUGGGGGAUAACGUAGCGAAAGUUGCGCUAAUACCGCAUAUUCUGUGAGCAGGAAAGCAGGGGGACCGCAAGGCCUUGCGCUCUUUGAGCGGCCGAUGUCAGAUUAGCUAGUUGGUGAGGUAACGGCUUACCAAGGCGACGAUCGUGUAGCGGGUCUGAGAGGAUGAUCGCCACACUGGGACUGAGACACGGCCCAGACUCCUACGGGAGGCAGCAGUGGGGAAUUUUGGACAAUGGGCGCAAGCCUGAUCCAGCCAUGCCGCGUGAGUGAAGAAGGCCUUC